rnacentral:rRNA from 1 species
AUUGAACGCUGGCGGCAUGCUUUACACAUGCAAGUCGAGCGGCAGCGCGGGGGCAACCCUGGCGGCGAGCGGCGAACGGGUGAGUAAUGCAUCGGAACGUGUCCCGUAGUGGGGGAUAACCCGGCGAAAGCCGGGCUAAUACCGCAUAUGCUCUACGGAGGAAAGGGGGGGAGUCCGCAAGGACCUCUCGCUAUGGGAGCGGCCGAUGUCCGAUUAGCUUGUUGGUGGGGUAAUGGCUUACCAAGGCGACGAUCGGUAGCUGGUCUGAGAGGAUGAUCAGCCACACUGGGACUGAGACACGGCCCAGACUCCUACGGGAGGCAGCAGUGGGGAAUUUUGGACAAUGGGGGCAACCCUGAUCCAGCCAUGCCGCGUGCGGGAAGAAGGC